AUUGAACGCUGGCGGCAAGCCUAACACAUGCAAGUCGAACGAGUGGCGGACGGGUGAGUAAUGGCUGGGAAACUGCAUGCUGGAGGGGGAAAACUACUGGAAACGGUAGCUACUACCGCAUACCAUCGGAUGUGUCCAGAGGGGAUUAGCUAGUAGGUGGGGGAAAGGCGCACCUAGGCGACGCUCCCUAGCUGAUCUGAGAGGAUGACCAGCCACACUGGAACGGAGACACGGUCCAGACUCCUACGGUAGGCAGCAGUGGGGAAUCUUGGACAAUGGGCGCAAGCCUGAUGCAGCCAUGCCGCGUGUAUGAAGAAGGCCUUCGGGUUGUAAAGUACUUUCAGCGGGGAGGCGUUACCCGCCGAAGAAGCACCGGCUAACUCCGUGCCAGCAGCCGCGGUAAUAC
rnacentral:rRNA from 1 species